UUUUUUUUUGUGAAUACAUAAAUCGUUCAAGACUCUUGUUUUUAGUUCUCGGCGCCAUGGAUAAAGACCAACAGAAAAGAGUGCAGCAAGUGUACCUGCUAAUUUGACUCGCCCUCAGCUCUAGCAAGUCUCAACAUAUCAUGUUCGAGGGUGAGAUAUUCAUUCAAGCUCUUGUUGGAUUCUCUC